UGCAAGUCGUGCGAGAAAGUAUCUUCGGAUAUGAGUAGAGCGGCGGACGGGUGAGUAACGCGUAGGAAUCUACCUAGUAGAAGGGGAUAGCCCGAGGAAACUCGGAUUAAUACCGUAUACCUCCUUCGGGAGAAAGAAGGCCUCUCUUUGAAGCUUUCGCUACUAGAUGAGCCUGCGUAAGAUUAGCUUGUUGGUGAGGUAAAGGCUCACCAAGGCUACGAUCUUUAGCGGGUCUGAGAGGACGAUCCGCCACAUUGGGACUGAGACACGGCCCAGACUCCUACGGGAGGCAGCAGUGGGGAAUAUUGGACAAUGGAGGCAACUCUGAUCCAGCCAUGCCGCGUGCAGGAAGACUGCCCUAUGGGUUGUAAACUGCUUUUAUACAGGAAGAAAUGUACCUACGUGUAGGUAUUUGACGGUACUGUACGAAUAAGGAUCGGCUAACUCCGUGCCAGCAGCCGCGGUAAUACGGAGGAUCCAAGCGUUAUCCGGAAUCAUUGGGUUUAAAGGGUCCGUAGGCGGUCUUUUAAGUCAGAGGUGAAAUCCUACAGCUCAACUGUAGAAUUGCCUUUGAUACUGAAGGACUUGAGUUAUUGUGAAGUAAUUAGAAUGUGUGGUGUAGCGGUGAAAUGCAUAGAGAUCACACAGAAUACCGAUUGCGAAGGCAGAUUACUAACAAUAUACUGACGCUGAGGGACGAAAGCGUGGGUAGCGAACAGGAUUAGAUACCCUGGUAGUCCACGCCGUAAACGAUGUCUACUAGAAGCUCGGAACCUCGGUUCUGUUUUUCAAAGCUAACGCAUUAAGUAGACCGCCUGGGGAGUACGGGCCGCAAGGUUAAAACUCAAAUGAAUUGACGGGGGCCCGCACAAGCGGUGAGCAUGUGUUUAAUUCGAUGCAACGCGAAGAACCUUACCUACACUUGACAUACAGAGAACUUACUAGAGAUAGUUUGUGCCUUCGGGAACUCUGAUACAGUGCUGCAUGCUGUCGUCAGCUCGUGUUGUGAGAUGUGGAUAGUCCCGCACGAGCGCACCCUAUCUAGUGCUAGCAGUAUGCUGAGACUCUAGAGACUGCGUGAUAAACCGGAGAGGUGGGACGACGU
rnacentral:rRNA from 1 species